UACAGGGGGCUCGAGCGUUAGUCGGAAUCACUGGGCUUAAAGGGUGCGUAGCGGCCCGCCAAGUGCUUUGUGAAAUCCCACGGCUUAACCGUGGAACUGCUUGGGUAUACUGGCGGUCUUGAGCCAGCUAGGGGCUACCGGGAACAAAUGGUGGAGCGGGUGAAAUGCGUAGAUAUCAUUUGGAACGCCAAUGGUGAAAACAGGUAGCUGGGGCUGUGCUGACACUGAGACACGAAAGCCAGGGGAGCAAACGGG
rnacentral:rRNA from 1 species